AUUACACGCGAAAUAGCUCGAAGAAGCACGUCGCUUAGCUCCGAAGAUAUAAUUCGACAGUCUGUUCUAUUCGUACAUACAUGAAGAUGUAUUAGACUUUCAUGCAUAUCAUUAAAAAAAAUCUGAAAAAACCACCCCUGUAUUGAAGAACAAAGCUCAAAAAACGUCCUUGCGAAUUCGGAGCACAUUUGCUCAGCCAUCUAGCUUUACACGAGAGGCUUUUUCGAGCAACCGGAAUACAAGUAAAACAAAAUAAGCUGUUAAACAAUAAGGAAUAAGAAAAUAAAAAUAAAAAAAUCGCAAAGGGGUAGUUUUCCAGACUGUAACUGUCAGCAAAUUCCGAACCGUUUAACUGUGAUUGAAUAAAAUCAUGUGGUGCAUUCGGUUUUGAGAAAACAAGUGAAUUUAUGAAAAGUAAAAACCUACCGCAACCGGAAAUAUCAUAAAAAAAUGACCGAAGGACUCUGCAGCACUGUGGAGAAACAGCCGUCUAUGAGAAAUAAACCACGCAGGUUGACACGGAGGGAAAAAUGGCCUUUGCACGUGGGUCUUUUUCUACUUUACGUUUUGGUACAGACUACGACAUCGGUCUAUACAUCAACAACUACAGCGGAUGAUUUAGAUCAGCCUGUUUCCGUCCUAUCGCAGAUCAGUAAAGACCAUGAAACAGCGCGUUUGGAGAACAGGAAGACUCCGGAUGACGGUAAUAAAGUCGGUACUCCAAGCUCCGUCACGAAAGAGUCGUUAUUACAAAUGCAAAAACCGACAAUCGAGAGCCUAAAGGAAAAUAAACAGCGUGAAGAACCCAGUGCCCAAUCUAAGGGGGAAGCAAAUAAUCUGCAGAAUCGAAAACCGAAUACUACGGGGAUGCCCGUUCGAGUUACAACAGAAUCAGAAGAUAUACGACCAACUUAUAGACCACGCAGACCUAACUGUUCUGCUCCAGCUAUUGAACAAUUUCCCAGACCGCUGAUGGGGCCAGAGGCACGGAAGCAUGGUGGCCUGAUAAUUCAUGUGCUUGUCGCUAUCUACACUUUCCUUGGAUUAGCCAUUGUCUGCGAUGACUAUUUCGUCUCUAGUUUGGACAGGAUUUGUGAAGAACUAAGACUCUCCCCGGAUGUUGCUGGGGCCACCUUUAUGGCAGCAGGCUCUUCCGCUCCGGAAUUGGCAACUGUCGUUAUAGGAGUUUUCUUUGCAAAAGAUGAUAUUGGGGUAAGCGGAGUGAUAGGGAGUGCAGUUUUCAACAUAAUGUUUGUGAUAUCGGUUUGUGGCCUAUGUUCUGGAACAGUCUCAAAAUUGAAUUGGUGGCCACUCUGCAGAGACUGCUUCUUCUAUGCAAUUUCCAUUCUUGUUAUGCUUGGUACUAUUUACAACGAAUCGAUAUCUUGGCCUGAGGCGCUGCUCAUGCUGAUAACAUACGCUAUUUAUUGUGUGGUUUUAUCAUUUAACGAGCGCUUGGAACGCUGGGCUAAGUCUCUGAAUCUACCAUACCUGCCAAAAGACAGCGAUCCUGCCGAAGAGAGUGCAUUGGUUAGCUACAGGUCACUUCAGGAGGAAAGACUCUCUUAUACCGGACCUAAUUCACCAGUUACCGAUCAAAUCAAGAGCGAAGGUAACAGUAUGCAGGACGGCUCUAAUCCGCAGGCUACUAAACCAACACCGUGCCCAGCACAGCCCCAGUAUUACAAAGCAAAAGAGGCCGAUCCUAACGAAAUAUCUCCAUUAGUUAUGCCAAUUGAUGGAGGAAGGUGGGGACUUUUUUCCUGGGGCCUGGUGUACCCUAUACACUUUAUGUGUCGACUCAGCAUGCCGGACUGUAGGCAGGAAAAAUGGAAGAGAUGGUACCCCUUCACUUUCUGUGUAUCCAUGAUUUGGAUCAGCUUCUACAGCUAUUUCAUGGUCUGGAUGAUCACCAUAAUUGGGAGUACGUUGGGUAUCCCGGACACGGUGAUGGGUUUGACAUUUGUGGCUGCAGGAGUGAGCGUUCCAGAUGCCUUGUCGUCCUUAGCCGUUAUAAAAGAAGGACUGGGAGACAUGGCUGUAAGUAACGCAGUCGGUAGCAACGUUUUCGACAUUCUGGUUUGCCUUGGACUCCCGUGGUUCAUUCAAACUGCUAUGAUUCAACCAGGUUCACACGUCAAUGUUACGAGCAGAGGUUUAACUUACUCGACGAUAUCGUUGCUAUCAACAGUAGUGUUUUUGGUAGUAGCGACUCAUUUGAACGGCUGGAAAUUGGACCGACGAUACGGGGUGGUUUUGAUGGCUUGGUAUCUGAUUUUCAUCGCGUUCGCAUCCUUGUAUGAACUGAACGUUUUCGGUGAAAUGAAUCCUCCCAUGUGUCCCAGUCUGUUUUAAGCAGUAGAUAAACAGUUGUGGGAUAGAUACCAGUCAAAAUCUACCGAUGCAGCGACAGUGGCAAGAAAAUAAAACUCGCAGUCAUCACGUUCAGUUUGCCACAUAUUGGUGAUGACAAUGACGCUCGGAAAAGGAAUGACCCAGUAUUUUGGCAUCCGAUUGUCUAUCCUCUGGAGAUUAAGAUGUUUGUGAGCUUCCGAUAAUCAAACAUAAAACAAAAAACGAUCUUUUAGAGAUCUGAAAAUAAGAGAUCGUGAGCCGAGCUAAUGGUAUCUGAUACCUGUUAUCUUGAAUCUCUGACAACUUCUUGAUGACACAGAACAACUUGUAUCGGUAUCCUAAAUAUCUUUACCCCGGUAUGAGUAGUUGAAAACAUAUGUCAUAAAAAAAAAACAAUUGAUUGAUUGUCUAGCUUCUCCCUACUGUGCGUUUUGGGUUAAUAGAACAUUAGCGAUUCAAUAUAAGUUGAAUUAGGGUCAGAAUUCCGUCGUACGCUUACAACGAGAAAUAGUUUAAUUUGAUGGUUGCCAGACGGUGCAAUGUCACAUUAUAGAGCUUCCAAAUAAUGUAUUCCUCAUUCUGUGAUUUCCAGGUUUUAUGACAGUUCAAUCAUAUUUGUAAUUCGAGUUAACAGUUUAUAAUAGUCUCAAGUUUCAAGCCGUUCUACUCUGAUAGCGUCAAUUCGUAUUAAAACUAAUGAAUCCCAAACUGAUUAGGCUGACUAAAUAUUACAUGAUGUUCGUCCAUCUGAGCUACGAGAAUAACUUGAUACACCCUAGGCUAGUUAUAAGAACAUAGACAGAGGGAAUUCGAGGAAACACAAUUUAUAUUCUGCAAAGUAUAUUUGACUCGAUGAUGAAAUGAUGCUUCUCUGAAACGAAUUCGUCUCCUUGAUCAAUCGAGAAGCAGUUUUUUUGUUCUUUAUUUUAUUUUUUAUGAUUAGGCGUAAUAUCAUAGUUUCUAUUUCGAAUUUCCUAAUUACAGACCAAAGAGGAUUUGUCGCAAGUAACUUUAAUCACCGCAUUGCCUUUAUCUGGAUAAAUAUAUAUGAGUAUAGUACCAGGAAAAAAAUAUAGUAAUCACACAAAUUGAUCGUUAGAUUCAACAUGACCACUUCUUUAAUAAAUAGAAAAAAAUGCGGAGCAAAAUUAAUUUCGAACAAACAAGAUGAAAGAGUUACUCAAUAGGAAUAAUUUAUUUAGAAGCUCAUUAAUCUGGAUAAAAAUGAAAAAUAGCUAAAAAAGAGAGAAUGGAAUGUAACUGCAGUUCAUUCGAGUUUAUUAUCCAUAAUAAGAUUUCGAUACGGUCGUUACGGGAAUAUUUUUUAUUCCAUGAAGAGCGUAUGGAUUUGAUAAACCUAAAAACAUUCCAGCGUAAACCAUGCGUGUGUAUACGGGAGAAGAAAUAUUGACAAAAAUAACGGGGAUCUGCCGCAUUCGUGUGACAAUACAUUAAUCAGUAUUAUUAUGAUUGUUAAUUAUUAUUAUUGAAACAAACCAUUGGAAGAUAGAAUUAAUGCGUAUGUUAUCGAGAAAUCUUGACACAUAAACUUUUUAAACGAACAAAUGAACAAGAUGUAAGAAGUAAGAAGUUCGCUUAGAUAUGAUGUAUGCAGUUCCGUCAAGUUUAUCAUAUGUAUAUUACAUUGCACAAGACAUCGAAAGCUUCACUUUAAAACAAUAUAAAUUAGUUUAGUUGAAAUUUGUACUAAUAAUCAAAUAACAAAAAAGGAAUUAAAAAAAAAAAGGAAAAAUUAGUUCAGC
rnacentral:misc_RNA from 1 species